CAUAUACUUCCUCUGUCCGGAAUUAGUUGACGCUCAAACAGAUGUAUCUAGACGUUCUAGAUACAUCUGUUUGAGCGUCAACUAAUUCCGGACGGAGGGAGUAUUAA
rnacentral:pre_miRNA from 1 species